rnacentral:rRNA from 1 species
GAUGAACGCUGGCGGCGUGCCUAAUACAUGCAAGUAGAACGCUGAAGGAGGAGCUUGCUCUUCUGGAUGAGUUGCGAACGGGUGAGUAACGCGUAGGUAACCUGCCUGGUAGCGGGGGAUAACUAUUGGAAACGAUAGCUAAUACCGCAUGACAACAGUUAUUGCAUGAUAACUGUUUAAAAGGGGCAACUGCUCCACUACCAGAUGGACCUGCGUUGUAUUAGCUAGUUGGUGAGGUAACGGCUCACCAAGGCGACGAUACAUAGCCGACCUGAGAGGGUGAUCGGCCACACUGGGAGUGAGACACGGCCCAGACUGCUACGGGAGGCAGCAGUAGGGAAACUUCGGCAAUGGACGGAAGUCUGAGCGAGCAACGCCGAGGGAGUGAAGAAGGGUGUCGGGUCGUAAAGCUCGGUUGUAAGAGAAGAACGAGUGUGAGAGUGGAAAGUUCACACUGUGACGGUAUCUUACCAGAAAGGGACGGCUAACUACGUG